GUGUGAAGAGAAAGUUUGGGCUUCAGGACCAAACUGCACAACAAUAAUCUAGAUCUAGAUCCAAUGUAGAGGUGUAUUAUCGAUCCAGCAAAAAAUCCCAAAACGCGUAUGAACAAUCCGAAUCCAGCACAAAAGCUCGGCCGUAGUGUGUGAAUUUUUGUCCCCUCGUUUUGAUUCCAAGUACCUGACUCCUUUCUCUUCAAACGUUCAAAGUUUCAUCGAUAUUUUUGAAACACCAGAACAAAACCGAAAAGAGCCACACCAUAAUCAUAUUUGCAUCCAUCAUCAUCUUCAUCCUCAUUUCAAAAUGCUCAAACGGAAGCCAGGAAGGACUCCCAAUGCAAAUCCAAGCUCGUAAUUGACGAAUCCACCAAAAUCAAAAUUUCCAACCAAUUUGUAUGUGCAUGCAGAAUUGAGAAGCAAUGCGGAUUGGUUCAAGAAAUCCACGUUGAUUAAAGAAGUAAGAAGAAGAAGAAUACUCACCUGAUUGAAAUUGUAGAAUCGAGUUAUCUAUGUACAUAGAAUCGGAGCUCCGACACUAUGACUUUUCGGCGAACAAUAUGAUGUAUUUUCUGUCAUGAGAAAAUUUGCAGGAUGUAUGCUCUACUGAUUGGCAAUGUUAUGACGCAAGGUUCUCACUAGUGUAUUUAGCAUGAAGGGUUCUGCUCAAUUUGGUCUGGUUGAAGGUAUCUUGCUGAAUUAAUUGCUUGGAAUAAAAGGGCUGACUUGGGCAUUGUUUAGAAAUAAAUUGGGAAUUAGAUUGUUGUUGAUUUGGUUUGGUCAUAAGAUUGUAAUGAAUGGAAUAUUGUAUUGAACUUGUAUGGAAAGCUAUUGAAUUGUGUUGAAUGCAUUAUUGAAUGGUUUUAUUUUGCAUAUGGAAAAUAUGAGGAUUUGAAUGUAAUGAAUGUUUGAUGGAAUUUGAAAUUGUUAUGGAAAUGUUUUGAAUUUAAUGUUAA